rnacentral:rRNA from 1 species
CCUACGGGAGGCAGCAGUGGGGAAUAUUGGACAAUGGGCGAAAGCCUGAUCCAGCCAUGCCGCGUGUGUGAAGAAGGCCUUCGGGUUGUAAAGCACUUUCAGUGGGGAAGAAAGCCUUGGGGCUAAUACCCUCGAGGAAGGACAUCACCCACAGAAGAAGCACCGGCUAACUCCGUGCCAGCAGCCGCGGUAAUACGGAGGGUGCGAGCGUUAAUCGGAAUUACUGGGCGUAAAGCGCGCGUAGGCGGUCUGAUAAGCCGGUUGUGAAAGCCCCGGGCUCAACCUGGGAACGGCAUCCGGAACUGUCAGGCUAGAGUGCAGGAGAGGAAGGUAGAAUUCCCGGUGUAGCGGUGAAAUGCGUAGAGAUCGGGAGGAAUACCAGUGGCGACGGCGGCCUUCUGGACUGACACUGACGCUGAGGUGCGAAAGCGUGGGUAGCAAACAGGAUUAGAUACCCCAGUAGUC